ACGUGUCUCAGUAACUUCCCUAGAGCCUUCCUAAGCCUUUUAGGUAAAGAGGUGGUCCAAUAUAUUUAUUGGGCCCGUCUACACAUGUGUGCGCUACUAAGUGAUGAAUUGAUGUGGGAUGGAUCGUACAAUUUCGCUACAAAAUGGUAUCAGAGCUCACGGUUCGAUGGGCCCAAGAACAACUCCAAGGUGCGAGGGUAAAUUCGCAAGGCCUCGUGGGUGGAGCACGGGAUGAUUUGAGUCGGGUGGAGCGGGCUUAGGAAGGCUCUAGGGAAGUUACUGAGACACGUUUGCUCCGGACGUGGUGGAGUAAUAUUAGAGUCAAGCAAAGCUCUUGAAGGACUCAAAGGUGAAGUAUUUGAAUCGGGUGGAGCAGGACUCGGAUGGCUCUAGGAAAACUGCUGAGACACGUUUGCUGCUGGCGUGGUGGAGUAGUAUUAGAGUCGAGCAGAGCUCUUGAAGGAUUCAAAGAAGGUGUGCUUAAUGAUGAGAAUACUCAAGUAUGAUACUUGUGAUGGGUAUUCAAGUGAAAGGUGGAGAUUGUUGGGAUAUUUCACAUGAAUCUCAUAUCGGAUAAAUUCAAGAGUGUAGAUGGGUUAAUAAGUAUGUUAGAGCCUCAACCUAAUAGGUUAACCUUUUAGGUAAAGAGGUGGUCCAAUAUACUUAUUGGGCCCGUCUACACUAGUGUGCGCUACUAAGUGAUGUAUACUUAUUGGGCCCGUCUACACAGGUGUGCGCUACUAAGUGAUGAAUUGAUGUGGGAUGGAUCGUACAAUUCCGCUACAAGCAGUGAAUAGAGGUGCGAGGAAAAGAUAUGAGAAGGUUAAAGUGAGAGACAGAGAAAUUGAUCAAUACAGAGAGAAAGAAAGGAGGAAGGAGGAAGGAGGAAGGAGGAAGGAGGGAGGAAGGAGGGAAGGAGGGAGGGAGGGAGGAAGAGAUUAAAUGUGAGAAAGAUAUUAAUUAAGAUACACAAAAAGUGAGGGGUUGGAGAAGAGAGGGUGAACGAGAGAGGGAUAAGGAAAUGAAGGAGGGAAAUAAGAAGGGAGAAUGAUGGGGGGAUAUAUGGAGGGAGGAAAAAGAGAUUGGGAAUGAUUUUGAGCAGAGACUAAAAGAGGUAGAGACUGGAGAAACGUAGUAGAAGAAGAGACGGCGAGUGUGAGGGAGAGGAAAAGGGUGAGAGAUAUUGAAAAGGGGUGAUAGAGAAGGGGGAGAGAAAAAGAUUGUAAUAUAAAGAUGGAUGGAGGAUGGAGGAUGGAGGAUGGAGGAUGGAGGAGGGAAGAUUAAAAAAGAGUGAGAUAAGAGAUGGAGAGCUAGGGAGACAUUAAUUACACUAGAUUAUGUGGCACACAUUAUGCGUGUGCAAUUAAGAGAAAAAUUAAAAUAUUUUAAAAAAAAUCUAAAAAAACAUGGAUGAGAAAAGAUAUGAGAGAAAAUAGGGAUAACAAGUGGGAGAAAGAAAAGAAACUAAUGAUAAUAUGUGAGUUGAGUGAGGUUGUUAUUAGUUUAUCGUUGUGAAUAGAUAAUUUAACUAAAAUAUAACAAUUUUUUAAUUUUAUCAUAAAAUAGACCAACAUAGAGUGAGAGACCAAGUCUCCCUCCCGCUUUUAUAUAUAUUAAUUACAAGAUAUAAAGAGAGUGAGAAGGGGAGUGAUGGAGAGAGAAGGACAAAGAGGAGAGAGAGAAGAAUGCAGAGAAGUAAAAAAAAGACAAAGAUCUCGUACGAGAUGGAGGUAGAUAUUAGAAAGAACCAAAAGAAAUCGGGAGUGAUAUUAAUUGAGUGGGUCCAAGGAAAAAUAUAUUGAGAGUGAUUUAAAGGAUAUAUCGAGAAAAAAGAGAUUGGUAAUACACAUUAGGAGAACAGAGAAAAAAAAGGGAAGGAAGAAAAGUGACAAAGCUUGAGAGAUAAAGAGAUUGAGGGUAGAGUGAUAGCGAUUGAGAAUGUGAGAAGAGAGUGAGAGGCGAGAGAGACGAAGAUGAGGUAGUGAAAGAAAUAAUAAAAAGAGGGGAGAGGAAGAGUGAAAGGGAAGGAAAGAAAAAGAUCUAGAGAGGGAGAUAAUGAUUUAAAUAGCAAGAAUGAUAUUGAGAAUGAUGGAGAGAAAAAAAUCGAGUACUAAGUAAGAGGAAGAAUACGAGAUUAAAAGAGUCGUUAGAGAGAGGGAGAUGAGGGAAGAAUGGAUAACAAGUAAGAAGGACAGAGGAGUUUGAUAAAAUUUAUGGAGGGAAUCAAUGAAGAUGAGAGAAGUGGGAGAGGAGGAUGUUGUCCGCUUUCGUAAUGACAAAUAUGUGCAAGUAUACAUGGUCAAGUAAUAAAGUGAUAAAAUCUAGUGUUGAACCCACAUGAACCCUUAUUUAACAAAUUUAAACUACUAGUUUUAUAUCAAUCAAAUUUUAUUUAAACAACUGAAUUUUGUGAUGAUUAAUUAAAAACGAAGUUAAAGGAACAAAUGCUAAUGUGACAACCCCAAAAUAAGUCCAUUUCACCCAACCUAUUUUGAGUCGCCAAAUACAUGGUACAGAAAACAACUACAACUUUAUUACAACAAUUAUCGUACAAAAUACAACAACACAUAUGCUGUGAGUUUGGAUACAAAUAUAUACCAACUGUGACUCGUGUCCCAACCGUAAUGUGACAAAUGUCCCAUCAGUGGACAGCACCUCACAGUGAUACCUACAUAAAGGUAUAGUCAAAAA
rnacentral:lncRNA from 1 species